rnacentral:rRNA from 1 species
GACGAACGCUGGCGGCGUGCUUAACACAUGCAAGUCGAACGGAAAGGCCCCUUUGGGGGUACACGAGUGGCGAACGGGUGAGUAACACGUGAGUAACCUGCCCUUGACUUCGGGAUAACUUCAGGAAACUGGGGCUAAUACCGGAUAGGAAUCCUUGCUGCAUGGUGGGGGUUGGAAAGCUUCGGCGGUUUUGGAUGGACUCGCGGCUUAUCAGCUUGUUGGUGGGGUAGUGGCUUACCAAGGCUUUGACGGGUAGCCGGCCUGAGAGGGCGACCGGCCACAUUGGGACUGAGAUACGGCCCAGACUCCUACGGGAGGCAGCAGUGGGGAAUAUUGCACAAUGGGCGGAAGCCUGAUGCAGCAACGCCGCGUGCGGGAUGACGGCCUUCGGGUUGUAAACCGCUUUCAGCAGGGGCGAAGCUUGUGGUGACGGUACCUGCAGAAGAAGCACCGGCUAACUACGUG